GCUGAAUGCUACAUCCGUCCUGCGACGGUACACCGCCUCCGCACCACCGUUUAAACAUGAAGUGUGGAUGUUAGAAGAUCCCAAAUAUGGAAAUAGUCAGGACCCAGAUGAACCUGUGCUGGAAUUCAGUGUGGGCUAGGGCCUAUUAUAUGCUGUAGCCUGAAGGCAGCUGAGUUGCAGAGGAUGGAGUGAUCACUGGCUUUCUACUUACAGGGUGGUGGGUCUCAGAGGACAAUUGCUACCCCUGUUGAAGUGAACAACGUGUGGAGUGCAACUGGCUUUGUGGCAUAGCUGGCUCUGGCCUUGGACUGUGUGUUUUUACUUUGUACCUAAAUGGGACACUGGACUUUUAACUAUUAUUCAUUGUGUUUAUAAAUAAAAUUUUAGAAUUUUAUUGACUGUCAUCUUUUUGCCCACCGCGGAGACGGUUGGUCAGACCUAGAAUCUCUUUAUGUGUGUGUGUGUGUGUAACAUCAGCAGGGUUUCGCAUAAAAGAGUGUGAGCAGGUCAAAAGGUCAAUUCAUUUAUUGUAGUUUUAUGGCAGCACCUUCUAGUGGCCUUGAAGCAAACAGUCUCCUAACUAAGCCAUGGCAUCUCCGGUCUCUCCUACUUUUGUGUGCUGUGCUGGAGGAGCAGCAUUGGAUCUAGUGAUACUGAGUAAGCUGAUUAGGACCGGCCUGGAGAAAUGUGGUUUGCAUGAAGUAUCAGGAGAAAAACAACCUUGUAUUGUAAAAUAAUAAUACACGAAUAAUAAAUACUUUUCAUGACAUUCAGAUUUCUGGACUCACGAGUUCAUAGAACAUUAAUGUUACGAAACAUUGAGAUAAGUCUUAAAACUACAUUGUAUACUUAUUAUUUAUUUACUUUAAUCAGAUUUGACUGGUAUUUUUAAACAUUAAGUUUUUGUUCCUUCAACUAUUGUAUUUAAGCUUAUGACUCACUCACAGUAUGUUUAUAUAACUGUCUAAAAAACAGUGAGGAUGUGGCCGCAGUGGCUGAGAAGCAAGAAGUUUGCUUUUUCUUUUUUUUUUCUUUUUUUUAAAUUGGGAAGCAUAAAUGAACAUACCAGAAAACCCUGCACGAAGGAGCCAUAUUUGUUUUUUGUGUGUGCAUAAGAUGAAGCUUUAGUAUUAUUACACAUAUGAUAAUGGUGUUAGCAUGCAACACACAAACUCAAGUGGUGUUGCCAAGAUAGUUGCUGACUGGCAAGAAACUUCUAGAAGAAAUCUGGUGACAGUCCAAAGCACAAAUGAACAUGUUUAAUACUCGUGCAAGACCCUGUGGGAAGGUGCCAGAUUGCUGUAUUUUGUGUGAAUCAGGAAAAGUGCACGGUGAUGACUAAAGCUUAUAAAACAUCUCUCUCCUUAUGUGUGCAUAUAUGAGAAAGAAAAUUCUGCCAAAGCAACUUUAGCUUCUUGCAAGCAUCAGUACACAAAGGAUGCUAACACAAAGCUAGCCAAGAA